rnacentral:lncRNA from 1 species
UGAAUUUUGAUAGAAACAAAUGUUUAAGAUAAAUUGAUUAAAACAUAGUUAACAUAUCUUAUUGAUAAUUAUCUUAAGCAUAUAGAAUCUAACUAAAUUGACUUGAACUAUCUUGGUUAAUGAAUCUAUCUCUUUAGUUCAAAUGAUAUGUGCUUGCUUAUAUUUAGGCAAUCUCUUGAGUAAAGUGACUCAACAUGCAACUAUUGUCAUAUCUCAUAUUGAGUCAUCUAUUAAAAAAUAUAUAUAUGUUGGAUGAAUGCUUUGUAUCUUAAAGAAACUAAUGACCUUCCUUCAAGAAAGAAAAAUGAGAAAUUUCAACUUGAAGGAUAUCUUCAUGAAAGAUACACUAAACAUUCACAUGCAAACAAGAGAGAGGAUCUUCUUCAGCCAAAAGUUCACACAUAAGAAAUCUAGUUUGGCUUGAAGAACAUAUAAUGAAUAGGUAAUUUAGAUACCUUUCUCACAAAUUAGUUGAGCAAAGUCAGUAACUUAAAUCUUAUUAUGGAAUGAUUAAAAUUUUUUGAUAUCAUGUCUAUAUGUGUAUUGACUGACUUAUACUUUUAGAAAUUAUUUCAUGGUUUGCCCAAACUAAAAUAUAUCUUUGCCUAUGUCAUAACCAUGAAAUACACAAGUAUAUGCUUAAAAUUUUGAUGUCAAAUAA